CCUGCUGUCCAGAUGUAGCUGGAGACGGUGUGGAUCCAACGCAGGCUGCAGAUAACAUACGUAGGGACUUGAAUUUUGCUGUGGGAAUGCGAAAAACAUGGGAAGCUGCUUUCUGCCAAGCUAUUUCCUUAAGGAUCCACUUUACAUACUGCCAAAUCGAUGACCUGUCAGGUAUAGUUAUGUGGCAUAGCAAUGACAUGAGGUCAAUCAGAUGAAGCCAAGAGAGCCUUGGCAGCCCCUCCAGUUAUCCCAGUGCAUGACCAGUGCUGCAAGUGGAGGAGUGGAGGCACACCAGCAUACAAGCGACACAAGUGACUGGUCGGUCAGCCCAUCGAGUUCUGGUUGGCGCUCUGUGUUCAGGAGUUUCACCAUUAAUGAAGUUUGCAUGCUUCUGACUGGCAGAAAAUUGUGUGAAACAGUUACUUUUUAAAAAAAAUUCGGAGCUAUUUUAAAAGCUUAUAUCUCUUGUAUUCAGAAGGAGUCAUUUAUAGUGUAGUUCUACCUGGCGUUUGCACCUUUUUUGUGCUAGUGACAGAACAAUCAGAAAGUGGAUGAUAAAACUACUCAUUCUAUACAAUAUUUUCUCCCACCUAGCUAGCUCCCAAGAUGAACUUAGAAAUCUAAAUGAUUUUUGCAUUUUAACAGAAAGCACAGUUGUUACAUAGAACAAAAUUUCUUGGCUUGUGACUGAUUAAAAAGAUGCAUAUAACAUCUUAAGACCGAAAUCACUUCUAUUUGUUUUCUGGGGUAUAGAAAUAAUUUUUCGGGAUUUCAGUGUUCUGAUUUUCUACUGAGUACAAGUAGACAGCUAAUUAUUUCUGAAAAGAUAGGACAUCAAAAUGUGAGCGCUCUUCAAUUAAAAAAAACGAACAAAAUGUUACUCUUUAAAGUAAAAUUUAUUCAGGAAAUUGAAAGAGAAAAAAAUGUGACUUUUAAAGGAAACUAGAAUAGAGAUUAUUCUAAAGACUAUUUCAUUUUUGUUAGGGAAUUUCAGUAGUAUUAGGCACACAUGAAGAAAGCGCCUUGAUCUUAAAAAAUGUAAAUAUUAUUUAUUGGUGAUCUACUAUCUCCUUCGGAAAGUUAGUCCAGGUCUGCUGACAUUGACAUGGCUACUAUGAAGACGAGCGGAGUUGCUGACUCUUCAAGGUCAACAGGGACUCUAACAGGGGGAGGUACUUCUAAGUGUGAAGUGUUUUCCUGCCCACACAUCUCCAUCACUCCACUGCCAUUAUUUCAGAUGAAUCAUCCAUC
ensembl:lncRNA